GAUUGAGUUCAACCAGUGGGCAGCCUUUGGAGAAUGGGAGAGGGGAAAGGCUGGAUGGUUUCCUAUUUUAUACUCUUCCUGCUGUGGCCAUGGUGGUGGUCAUGCUCCCCUAGGCUCCAGCCCUGGUGGAUAGCCCUCUUGUAUAGCUGCAGCUCUCUCAUCUCUUGCCCUCUUAGGCCUGGAGUGCCCAGCCCAGAGCCUGUGGACCCUCUGCUGCUCUAAGGAAGCCCCUUUGGGUGCCUGAGGUGCUGGCUGCUGUCGAUGUGGAUGAGAGUGAAGGGCCCAUGUCCAUGGCAGAUGUCACAGCACUCGCGGGAGGAGGGCAAGGCUGGUUGUCUCAGCAGAGCUGGCUCUGUGACUCUGGAUUCUUUGCCUAAUUCUGGAUCUGCAGUGUACACAUAUCAUGCUGGAGCAGAAUUGGCCCUGGAAAAUGCUCAGGCAGAGCAGCAGCCAUGGAGCAGGCCCUGCUGUCCUGGACUUUCUCCCUUGUCUUUCCCUGGCUCUCACCCACCGCAUUUCAGGACUGGGAAAGGCAUCGUAAAGACUGCCCUGAUCGAUUCCUGGAUUUAAAAGGAUGGCCUGUGGAAGCUGUGAUAAUCACAAGAGGAGAGCGAGACCCUGCCCCAAGUAAACUCUUUCCUUUUUUGUUUUUCAUGUUUUGAUCUUAUGAGCCUUGACUAGGCUCCACUGAAAACAAUGGCAACUUCUUCAAAGAGGAGCAUCAAGCCCUCUGAAUGGGCUAAUUCUGCUGCAGGUUCCCGCUAUCCAUCCGCCCUUGACAAGCGCCAGUAGAAGUCAACAGGUGGUUGUCCAAAUAUAAAUGAAAAGGCUUAACUCUGAAAACAUCGCCGUCUGAGGGGAUUUUGUGAAGACUUUACUCUGUGGUUUUGGCAGUGACUAUGGGUUUCUUUGCCAGCGCACAGAGAAAUUUGACCUGUGUCCCUCAGGGGCUAGAGAUUUUCAUCAUGACUGUCUCCACAUAGCACCUACCCACCCCUUCUUUUCCUCAACAAGCUAGUAAAUUCAAAAAUAAAAAGUGAAGAGAGAGAGAGAGAAAGGCUGAAGAAACAAAGGAGAGGGAGUACCUGAGUCUGUAUUUUAUUCCCUUAUUAAAACCACAUUUACAUGUGUCAAAAACAGGGGUAUUUUGAUGUGUGGGAGGAGAGAUAUUUUGCAAGGAGAUUUCUCUCAAUAAAAUGUCCUCCGUGCUGACAAUACUGUGACAAAUUAUGAGUUAUCUGUACAAACAACAUAUAUUUAAGUUACUACCAGCUUCUCAAGUGAGGAUUGAGAAAUAAAGCAACAAGGGGCAUGGAGGAGGGAAGCACCAUAGUGUAUAAUCCUUCUAGUUUAUCCGUAAUUUUCUUUGGUCCUUUCUCCUCUUUACUUCUUAGGCAGCCAGCCACCAGAGACAGGCCAUGUGAUCCUACAGGAAUACAUUGACUCCAGGCAAAAACCCAUUUUCCAAAGCAGAUUCUGUGUGUUUCAAAGUAGCUGCAAAUUUGUCAGUAGAAUGCAUCCUAUAGAAAACUUACUCUAAACUUAGGGAUUCAAUUCGGAAUCUAACUUUAUGUUCUUUGUCUUCUUAAGCAAAUAAUUACCUGAUGCCAAUUUAGAAGAAUCACCUAGCUUCACGUUCCAUUUUGGGAAGCCAUCCUGGGUGUUUAGGAAUUACAAACAAUCACUGGGGCUUCCUUGGAGGCUCAGAUGGUAAAGAAUCCAGCUGCAGUGAAGAAGACAGACUGUCUCCAAUGCAGGAGAUACUGGUUCAAUCCCUAGGUCAGAAGAUCCCUGGAGAAGGAAUGGCUAUCCACUCUAGUAUUCUUGUCUGGAGAAUCCCAUGGACAGAGGAGCCUGGCAGGCUAAGGUCCAUGGGAUCACAAAAGAGUCAGACACAAGUGAGCAACUAACACACAUUUAAAAGGGAUAAAUAUGGCACCUUUCCCUAAUCUAGAGUCACAAAGAUUUGAUUAUAUAAAGAAAAGAGUAUAUACAUCAGAGCUCAGCUUACAUAUAUGACAUUAAGUUAUAUUAAUAUUAUAAAAAUCUCCAGGUAAACAUCAGUGACAAAGAUAAACACUCACAUUAAAUGUAGACCAGCAUGAAGUCCUUUAUCCUUUUGUCCAGGGGAGGAAAAACUUGGACACCCCAACCCCAAAAUAUCAGGUUGGGUCAGUAGGCAAAACAACUGUCUUUAGGAGUCGCCAUCUGAAAGGCUCUUUGCAGGCAGGUCCCUGUGUCGCUUGACCCGGAGUUUUCUAAGACGCCUGAGUCUCCUCCUCUGAGCACUCUCCUCUGAUAUGGCCCAGGGGGACACACACCCUGUUUUAGCCUGAUGCCAAUUUCAGAUGGGCUUGUGACAGCUGACCUCUGCAGAACAGGCACCCCUGGUAGCCCGGGUGACUCCACUGUGUUCCCAAACACCAGGAUUCCAUCUCACCCUCUGUGGCCGAGCCUCGGCAUUCACUGGAAAAGGGAAGAUGCUCGUGUGCUUUAUUUUCGGCUGGGUAAAAGAGGCAGACUUGGACCACAAGGAAGCACACAGAUGCCUCAAGUGGGCGCAGGGAGAGCAUCAUUUAGAAAUAACUUUAUCCUUUUUCUUCCUGUAGGUACCACCCUGGAUCUUGCGCCAGAAUAUGGAGAAGUUGCCACAGGAACCGAGCAAAAGGCACUCAUAAACAUUGUGGGUGUAGAAAAAUUUUGUCUUUGUGAUGAGAUGGCAGGGAUUAGCACUUGAUAACCUUGAUAGUCAUGCACUUUUGAAGUAAAUAAACGUCUCCUAAUGAGCUUCUAAAUUAGAGAGGAGAGGAGGCCCAGCUAACCUCCAUAGGUUAUUGGCAUCAGAAACGUGGUAAAGCUAUAACGUAACUCUAAUCUUAACAGCUUAUAAAUGCCAGAAAAUGCUGUAAACUAAAGAAUAAAUCUAUUGGGCAAAUCUACAGUGGCUCAUCC
ensembl:lncRNA